rnacentral:tRNA from 1 species
GCCGACAUAGCUCAGUCGGUAGAGCAACGGUUUCGUAAACCGUAGGUCCCCGGUUCAAGUCCGGGUGUCGGCUCCA